rnacentral:rRNA from 1 species
AUGGCUGCCGUCCUCACCCGCCCGACGCCGGGCACGGUCCAGUGCUUCGGGCGCAAGAAGACGGCGGUGGCCGUCGCGUACACCAAGCCAGGGCGCGGGCUCAUCAAGGUGAACGGCGCCCCCAUCGAGCUGAUCCGCCCGGAGAUGCUCCGCCUCAAGGCCUUCGAGCCCAUCAUGCUCGCCGGCCGCUCCCGCUUCAAGGACAUCGACAUGAGGAUCCGCGUCCGUGGCGGCGGGAAGACCUCCCAGAUCUACGCCAUCCGUCAGGCCGUCGCCAAGGCGCUCGUCGCCUACUACCAGAAGUAUGUCGACGAGGCCGCCAAGAAGGAGGUCAAGGACAUCUUCGCCCGCUACGACCGUACCCUCCUCGUCGCCGACCCCCGUCGCUGCGAGCCCAAGAAGUUCGGUGGUCGCGGCGCCCGCGCGAGGUUCCAGAAGUCUUACCGUUGA